rnacentral:rRNA from 1 species
UACGUAGGGUGCGAGCGUUGUCCGGAAUUAUUGGGCGUAAAGAGCUCGUAGGCGGCUUGUCACGUCGAUUGUGAAAGCCCGAGGCUUAACCUCGGGUCUGCAGUCGAUACGGGCUAGCUAGAGUGUGGUAGGGGAGACUGGAAUUCCUGGUGUAGCGGUGAAAUGCGCAGAUAUCAGGAGGAACACCGGUGGCGAAGGCGGGUCUCUGGGCCGAUACUGACGCUGAGGAGCGAAAGCGUGGGGAGCGAACAGG